CUCAGCAACUUCACCCACAGCAACCAUGACUUUGAUCAGCGUCUUCAUCUGCACACUGGCCCUCUGGACUCAAGGAUCCAGAGGUCAGGUGACUGUUACUCAGACUCCUUCAGUGCAAACUGUCGCUCCAGGAAACACCGUCACCAUCAACUGUAGAACCAGCAACAGUGUGCAUAAUAAUGACCAGCUCGCCUGGUACCUGCGGAAAUCUGGAGAAGCUCCUAAACUCCUGAUCUACUAUACUAGUAUCUUACAGUCAGGGACUCCAGCUCGUUUCAGUGGCAGUGGAUCUGGUACUGACUUCACUCUGACCAUCAGAGGAGUCCAGACUGAAGAUGCAGGAGAUUACUAUUGUCAGAGUGUACAUCAAAUUAGUAGUAACUGGGUGUUCACACAGUGUUAGAGCGUGGUACAAAAACCUGGGUGAGUGAGAGAGCACAGAGAAGCACUGCUGCAGCUGGGAGCGACUGCAGGUGCUGAGGGGGAGGAUGUGAUACAGCACAAUCACACACACACACACACACACACACACACACACACACACGCACACACACACACACGCACACACAUCAAAUUAAAAUGUUAUUUUCACAUACACAGUCAUACACAGUACGAUAUGCAG